rnacentral:antisense_RNA from 1 species
UGGAGUUUUUAGCCUUUUAACAUUCAAGGAUUAGAGCUCCCUCUUUGCCCACUAGCAGGGCAUUAGCUGGUGCUGAAGACAGUGGCUGCUUGGCGAGCCUGGAUCUCCAAGUGACCCCCUCAGCAACUCCUGAUGAACAGGACUGAAGCCAAUAUUAAAGCAAGUCAACCAAAGGUUCUCUGGUGUAGACAAGACAGCAAAAGGACAGACUACCUUGUGGAACCUAGCAUUGUUCUCCUUCUGCAGCACUAAGUAACGUUUGUGCUCCGUAAGAUCUUUGCAAACCACACACAAGAAUUGCUGGUCAUCCUGUCAAUAGAUGCUGCUCACAGAACCAAAUUUACUGUGCUGGAUUGUCAUUCAUGGGCUUGAGAGUAGGAGACUGGAGACCAAGGUGGCUAGAAUCCAGUUGGGCCUGACGUCUCCCUGUUGAAAAGGCUCCUUGUGGAACGAACAGCACAUGGCUCCCGUGGUGGAUCAGAUAGUGGCACAGCACCAAAUGAUGCAGGCCUGCCAGGGGCCAGGGCCACAGAAGAUGCUCCCAGGGUCCCCCGUGUACUCCAGACACACUACAGGCCACCUCUCCCAGCAGGUUCCCAGUCAUGGGCCCCAUUGUCAUGACUUUAAAGUACUGUGUGCAGAAAUGUAAUUGAGAUUCAAGUCAGGGCCUCUGCCCUUUUCCCUCCAGAAACAAAACCAAGAUAAUUUAUCCUGAACACACACGGUGAAAAAAGGAAGGGAAGGGGGAGAAAAAGUCCAGGUCUUACCUGGGAUUCUCUGUCUCCUGCAACAUGAAGGAUUUAGCCUGGGAGGAGGUGGUGAGAACUCUGGGAGAGAAAAAAGAAGGAAAGAAUAGUUUUACCCAUGCUGAAGUUAAACCUUCACCUAGAGAAGCAAAAACAAACCACACUUUUCCAUUUUGUGCCUCCCUUCCUAGAGUUUUAGCCAAAGGUGUAACUAAGUAAUUGGUUUUACCAGGGCAGUCACUCCUCCUAUCCCGAGUCUGUUUGACUUCCUCCCCAUCAUCCUCCUCACCUCUUUUCAGGCAGGGUGGGGAUAGCAGCAGGAGGAGAUUUUGGGAGCCUGGCAACUCCUGCAAGGACCGCAGGACAGCACCUCUGUGGGGAUGCGUGGUGCCCCAUCUGCCGCCCUUCUGAAGAAUGCACUGCCUUCACUUUACUGUGUUAGAGUCCAUCCAGACUGUUCUAUCCAAAGAAUAGUUUCUUUUUCCCCCACAGGCAAUCAGGAAAUGAUUCCUUUCCCGACUGCUUCUGUCUAGUGCCUGGGAAUCUUGAGUCAAUCCCUCAGUAAGUCAGUGACUAGGGGAAUCUCCCCUCUCUGAGCCUCCCAGUUCAUGUUGCUUAGGGAACCUGAUAUUUUCGUGAAACCUGCCUACACAUGGGCAGCCCAACAGCAGAGCAAAUGGUGGUGAACAAAGAAUUAUAGUUGUGCCAGCUUCCUGGUUGCCCAUGUGGACAAGUCAGCAGGAUCAGGACACGAGGAAGAGUAAAUGUGAGACAGUCACGUGACUUCUGCGAUAAACAGAUUUUUAAGCCCCGAAGUUUUGCUAAAAUUUUGGUGAAACCUGAACUUUCUUCGUUGCAUAUACUGGCACUAUCUGUACCAUCAUACAACUAUCUCACAUUAAAGCUAUUUUUCUUGAGCACUGAUGAGUAAGGUUGGUAUGUUUGAGUUCCUCAGAUCAACAAAAACCCAUUUUCCUAUAAGUCUUACAUUUAGUAUUUAAGGAACUAAAACAAAUACAUUUUGUGAAAUGGUUGACACUUCAUUGAUAAUGAUUUAUUGCUUGGAUUAAUAAAUUUUCCAAAAGUUGUCUUAUGUAGAAUAUGGUUUGCAACCAGCAGAACCAUUAAUCUAUACUGCAAUGAUAUGCACUAUGUAUAAUUGUUUAAAAGCCUCUACUUAAUGAUGUAAAAUGCUCUAUUACACAUUUGGGUAAACUGUAUACUAACAUCUGAUGGCAUUUUUCCACUGUUUGUUGCUUUUUUCAGAUACUUUAUUGUACAAAGCUGUUCUUAAUAUUUUUCAAGUUUUUUUCUUUGAAUUUUGCUAAUGUUUUCCUUGAAUUAUGAGCAUUGACAGAAUGUGCUUAGCACUUUUGGCUAUUCACACAGCUUUUGAGCAUGAUUUGCAUCCAGUAUUUACAUUGCUAGCAAUAAUAAGCCAUCUGUGAGUUUUGUCAAAAGUUAUUGGGGAUUUUUUAAAUUUUAGAAGUGCAAAUUAUUGUUUCUUUGAACUAACUCUUAGUUGCAAAGGCAUUUCCAGUUGUUAUAUUUUUUGUACAAUGUCAGGUGUUCCAGAUUAUGAUUCAUUAUUAAUAUUGCUUCCUUGUUCCCUCUGAGGUCCAGAAGAUUUCAUGUUUACAAUAUUUAGAAACAAUGUUAAAAAGAU